rnacentral:rRNA from 1 species
UUCUGGCUCAGGAUGAACGCUAGCUACAGGCUUAACACAUGCAAGUCGAGGGGCAGCAUGAAGUUUGCUUGCAAACUUUGAUGGCGACCGGCGCACGGGUGAGUAACGCGUAUCCAACCUUCCCCAUAGUAGAGGAUAGCCCGGCGAAAGUCGGAUUAAUACUCUAUGUUGUAUUUUUGAGGACAUCUGACGAAUACCAAAGAUUGAUCGCUAUGGGAUGGGGAUGCGUCUGAUUAGGUUGUUGGCGGGGUAACGGCCCACCAAGCCGACGAUCAGUAGGGGUUCUGAGAGGAAGGUCCCCCACAUUGGUACUGAGACACGGACCAAACUCCUACGGGAGGCAGCAGUGAGGAAUAUUGGUCAAUGGGCGAGAGCCUGAACCAGCCAAGUAGCCGUGCAGGACGACUGCCCUAUGGGUCGUAAACUGCUUUUAUAGGGGAAUAAAGUGAGGCACGUGUGCCUUUUUGUAUGUACCCUAUGAAUAAGGACCGGCUAAUUCCGUGCCAGCCGCGGC